rnacentral:rRNA from 1 species
GAUGAACGCUGGCGGCGUGCCUAAUACAUGCAAGUCGAGCGAACGGACAAGGAGCUUGCUUCUCUGAUGUUAGCGGCGGACGGGUGAGUAACACGUGGAUAACCUACCUAUAAGACUGGGAUAACUUCGGGAAACCGUAGCUAAUACCGGAUAAUAUUUUGAACCGCAUGGUUCAAUAGUGAAAGACGGUCUUGCUGUCACUUAUAGAUGGAUCCGCGCUGCAUUAGCUAGUUGGUAAGGUAACGGCUUACCAAGGCAACGAUACAUAGCCGACCUGAGAGGGUGAUCGGCCACACUGGAACUGAGACACGGUCCAGACUCCUACGGGAGGCAGCAGUAGGGAAUCUUCCGCAAUGGGCGAAAGCCUGACGGAGCAACGCCGCGUGAGUGAUGAAGGUCUUCGGAUCGUAAAACUCUGUUAUUAGGGAAGAACAUAUGUGUAAGUAACUGUGCACGUCUUGACGGUACCUAAUCAGAAAGCCACGGCUAACUACGUG